CCUCAGCUGUAUGGUACAGCCUCUUGUUCCUAGGCUACAAACUUGUAUAGCAUGUUACUGUACUGAACGCUGUGGGCAACUGUAACACAUUGUUCAGUACUUAUGUAUCAAAGCAUACCUAAACAUAGAAGAGGUACAGUAAAAAUAUAGUAUAAAAAAUUAAAAUGGUACACUUGUAUAGUGCACUUACCAUGAAUGAAUCUUGUAGGACUAGAAGUUAUUCUGGGUGAGGCAGUGAGUGGUGAGUGAAUUUGAAGCCCUAGGACAUUACUGUACACUACUGUAGGCUUUAUAAACACUGUACACUUAGGCUACACUACAUUUAAAAUUUUGUUUUCUUCAAUUACUAACUUUAGCUUACUAGAACUUUUUUACUUUAUAAAUUUUUUAGUUUUCUUUUUGAUUUUUUGUAAUAAUACUUAGUUUAAAACAAGUACAUACAGCUGUACCAAAAUAGCUUGUUUUUUAGAGACAGGUCUUGCUUUGUCACUCAGGCUAGAGUGCAGUGGUGCAAUCUAGUCUCACUGCAGCCUUGACAUCCUGGGCUCAGGUGAUCCUCAUGCCUCAGCCUCCUGAGUAGGACAACGGGUGCGUGCCACUAUGCCUUUUUUUUUUUUCUUUUUGGUAGAGAUGGGGCCCAAGCAAUCCUCUUGCCUUGGCCUCAUAAAGUGUUGGGAUUACAGGCAUAAGCCCCCACACCCAGCCAAUGUUUUCCUUAUAUUCUUCUAUAAGCCUUUUUCUAUUAAUUUUUGUUUUUUUUUACUUUGUAAACUUUUUUUGUUGGAAAUGUGGACACAAACAUAUUUGUCUAGGCCUACACGAGGCUAGUUCAUCAAGACUUCACUAGGUGAUGGGAAUCUUUUAGCUCCAUUAUAAUUUUAUGGGACUACCAUUGUGUAUGCGGUUCAUCGUUGACCAAGAUGUCAUUAUGACAUGCAAGAGUGUAUUUCAUUUUGAAUGAUGGGCCAGCUACUAAAAGGUAUUGAUAUGAGCAGGGUGGUAUCUAUCUUUGAACAAAAAUCACUCUAUAUAAUGGACCAUUCCAUGAGUAUAAGCAGGGAGAUGAGUUAGGGAGAUGCCAAGUGUGAGACAUGGCAGUAUGGAGGUAAGGGUGAAAACUAGUUGGAUUCUAGAUACUUUGGAGGAGGAGUCAACAGGACAUGCUCAUGGAUUAGUCUGGGGUGGAGAAGAGUUAAGCAACUGACUGGAGCCUUUUUUUUUGUAGUCUAAAGUCUUCCCCAAGGCCCCACAUCAAUAGAGAGGAUAGGAACAACAUGGAGGGAUUCACAGAAUCUCUCCCAUCCUCUGAGUGCCUCCACUGGCCAUCAUAGGCUGGCUUGUGUACUUCUCCACAAACAUGAUUUUGUCCAUAACUGGACCAUGUCCUCAAGGGCCAUAUCUUAGGCUUUUCUGAAUCUUCCACCCCUACCCACUCCCAAUAGAAUAAAAACAGUUGUGAGAACAUAGGAAAGCAUGCUAUGGACUAAACCUGGGCUAAAACCCUUCCAGGUAGUGAUGACAGCCUUAGAGAUGAGGAAACAGACUUGGGGAGUAAAGGUACUUUCCUGAUAGUAGCGACCAUUUGAGACAACUUCCUGCCUGCCCAACAUUGUGCUGGGAAUUUGGGCGGCAAAUGGCUGAUCUGGGUGUUACACCAGCAGCUUCUCAAUUUAUGUUGCUGCUGAGCAAAUGAUACCUCAUUGUGAUCUGUCUGCUGAAGGAGUUCAGAAAAUGCCACCCCAAAAUAUGCUUUGGUGUGCUGAUUGCUUUGAACUGAGGGCAUUUUGAGAGACAGUGGAUGAAGGCAGAGGCUAGCUUUGAGCUCACCUUAUCUGCCUAAAGACAAUCCUCCAAAAGGAACUCAACUGUCAAGACUUCCCCAGGAACCUCGUCAACCAAGACCAACUCAUAACACAGGAGAGGAGACUGAGGUUUGACUCCGUGCCCAGACAGACUUCGUCAUAGGCUGUCACCUUUUCUUCUGAGGGCCCACUCAUCUUUCCCAGCAUCAAAUGAAGAAUCACGAGGUUCGUACAUUUGGAAAGGAGGGUACCACGACCUGCAGGCAGGAUGUGGAGCUACUAGCUGAAACUGAAAAGCAAGUGCUCUGAGGGAAAGAAGGAUGAGAUGGGAAUUUAUGCUGAAGGGCUAAAUACACAUAUUCAACAGGUUAUGGGAGGAGCUAUAAAUAUUAAUGAGGGGAGUGAGUGCAUGUGUAGUAGGCUAACAUGUAUGUAACGUGCAUUCCAUGUUCGCUUUGGGGUAAAGACUUAACAUUCAGUUAGACUCUACAACAAAAAGUGAAGUAAAGGACAGGAAGGCCCUCAGUGCACAGCUUCUGUAGACUGACCAGAAUCACUUCAUGAUUGGUGGUCUCUAUUAGGAAAGAAUGCUGGUCUGUUGCUGUGUCAAAACAGCAAAAGGGAGGGACGGCAUUAGGUGAUUGGUUGAAAUUGGUGAAGAGAGUCUGUGGAAAGCUGGUUUCUGUUUAACCCUUAGGGAAGAAGGCCUAAUGGGGGUUGGGUGAAGGAAGGGGUAGAUGACAAGACCUAUCUAACCUCCCAGCCCAUCAUGGCCUGGAACUCAGGUUUGUUUUUUGGUUCCCUUGGCGAGAGGGGGUCUAUUCACACCAAAACUCAUUUACAGUUCCCUAAGUUGCUUACAUCACCCUCCAGCCUCCCCUAUGAAGAGAGUAAAUAUGCUUCUAGAUCUCACCAGGUUUUGGGGGAUAUACACUUUUCUUUUAUGUGAUGUCCCCAUGCAUGUAAUAAAUUUGUAUUCUUACUUUUACUGUGAAUCUGUCUACUGUCAGUUUGUUUCAUAGACUCAGCCAUCAAAGCCUCAGAGGACAGAGGGAAAGCUCUCCCUCCCCAUACUAUUCUCAGCAGGUGCCAGAGCUACCUUUUCAAUGGCUUCCAUGAAGAUGACUUCCCUCUGUGAGUGACUUCAGGUGGUUGGACACUAAAAUAUGCCACCACAAAAAUAUGACUGAAAAGUUACAAUUUUAAGAGAAAGUUAUAUUAAUAAAGGAAGUCUCUGCCUGUAAGAGUGUCUCCCUCUCUGUCCCAGGAGGAGGAGGAUGGCUAAAUCACCAGACACUUAAUGGAGGAGGCAUGACUUAAACCUGCAGAACAACCUUACCUUUGUCUAAGGUGCUUUUCCUGGUCUUCUGGUCUUAACAGGGUCUUUCCCCAUACUCUUCUUUCUUUAUUUCAGAGAACUGAUGGUAUUUAAACCUCAAGUUUAAACUUUUUCUUUGAAAUCUCAUUUCUCUGGGUUAUCUCCCAUAUAUACAGGAGAUAUACACAUUAUCAAACUUCUUUUUGUGUUUUUGCUUGUUAACCUGUCUUUGUUACAGGGAGUCCUGGUUAAGAAUUAUGAAGGGUAGCAAAGAUUAUUUUUCUUCCCCUACAAGGUCCUACCCCAUUCCCCCCACUCUUUUGAGGGAGCCGGUCCUAGAUGUCAGCUGAAGGGAAUACCAUAUCCUAUGAAUCACUUGUUAUGUCUUUUUGCUCUUAUUCUUUAAGCCUCUUUCUUCAUACCUUCCCCUCAACAACUUGAACGUGCUUGUUUUCUGCCCCAGGCAUAGGAAAUGUAUGCAAAGGGCAAAACAGAAGCUUUGCUGUUGACAGCACUCAUAUAAACAGAUUUUCUUCCCAGUGCCUCCACCUAGUUCUUUCCUUCCUACAGGACUCAGACUCUCUUGGACAGAAAUCUUCGUCCCCGUGAAAUGCUGCCAUGUCCUGAGAGACAAGAAAAGACGCUGUGAAUGUCACGUAUGCUUCCUGGCUACACUCAAGUUCUCAAGGAAUGGAUGUGCCUGAUCCCCUGUCUUACCAGAUAAGGGCCCUCACUGAGGAUGCUCUAGGAACCCACAAGGUGAAGAAGAGGUGCCCCUUCCUUGAAGGAGUUGGAUUAUCCUUUAACUACCUGGGCCUGCUGAUUGGAGUUGCUGUGCUUACUGCAAUCUUGCAUAUGUUAGUAUUGGUCUUGUGUGACUCGUAACUAGAACGUACGUGAGGAAGGCAAAUUCUCUGGGUCAGAACACAGCAUCACUGGAGUGCCCACCUACAGCACCUACUUUUGACCUGAGGAAUUUCUUUUUUUCUCUCUCUCUGAGACAGCGUCUCGCUCUGUUGCCCAGGCUGGAGUGCAGUGGCAAGACCUCAGCUCACUGCAACCUCUACCUCCUGGGUUCAAGUGAUUCUCCUGCCUCAGCCUUCUGAGUAGCUGGGACUGCAGGUACGCACCACCACACCGGCUAAUUUUUUGUAUUUUUAGUAGAGAUGGGGUUUCGCCAUGUUGGCCAGGCUGGUCUGGAACUCCUGACGUCAGGUGAUCCACCUGCCUGGGCCUCCCAAAGUGCUGGGAUUCCAGGCAUGAGUCAGUAUGCCCGGCUGACUUGAGGAACUUCUGUAAGCUCCCUCCCUUCACCUCCUGCCAACCUAAGCUGCAUGCCAAGGUUCCAGAUGGUGCUCAGGGCAAGAAGGUUCAUCAGAGCUGGGAACCACAGGUGUGGAGGGAGCAAUCAGAGGCCUGCUGCCUCCCUGAUGCCUGUCUAUAAAGCAGGGUGGGAGAGAGGACAACCUUGUCUCCUGUUGGAGGUGCCAUCACGUCACAUAGAUUCUCUGUGAACUUAGGAAGAAGCAGCUUGAGUCCCAUCCUGUGCAUCAUCCUUGUUGUCUGUGAUGUAAAUUAUGCUGGGCUCCUGACUCUUUCCCUGGGAGAAGGCCUGUAUGCUGUAUGUUCUGCAUCAAGACCCAGCCUGUAGUCCCAACAAUGGGCUGAGGUAGACCUCUGGUGACUCAGAUACUCCGGUGAUGAGUGUGGUCUGCAGGAGGUGUCCAGGGGAGCAGGAGGCACACGGCACCAACUUGGAAAGUUAAUGAAUGAGUUUAGUGAUGGACACACAAGGAACUGUUAACAUGUUUUAGAAAACUUACUUGGCCUCAGCACUUUCUUCUCCUUUUAGGCUGGGUGCGGGGUGAGACCUCCUCCUCCUUUUUCCUUCAGCCUCAGUUGUAUUUUAUUGGAUUACAAGUUUGUAUUUAUUUUGUAUUACAAGAUCCUGUCUUCUGUUCCUGUUUUGGCCACUGUCUAUGCCAGGCUGCUAUUAGAGCCUGACAGCUUCACCCUAAAUAAAAGAAAACCUUUUAUGUGUAGUUUAAAAAAAUAAACAAAAACCUCUGUAGAUCUUUUUAAAAUCUA